rnacentral:rRNA from 1 species
UGGGGAAUUUUGGACAAUGGGCGAAAACCUGAUCCAGCAAUGCCGCGUGUGUGAAGAAGGCCUUCGGGUUGUAAAGCACUUUUGUCCGGAAAGAAAUCCUUGGCUCUAAUACAGUCGGGGGAUGACGGUACCGGAAGAAUAAGCACCGGCUAACUACGUGCCAGCAGCCGCGGUAAUACGUAGGGUGCAAGCGUUAAUCGGAAUUACUGGGCGUAAAGCGUGCGCAGGCGGUUUGCUAAGACCGAUGUGAAAUCCCCGGGCUCAACCUGGGAACUGCAUUGGUGACUGGCAGGCUAGAGUAUGGCAGAGGGGGGUAGAAUUCCACGUGUAGCAGUGAAAUGCGUAGAGAUGUGGAGGAAUACCGAUGGCGAAGGCAGCCCCCUGGGCCAAUACUGACGCUCAUGCACGAAAGCGUGGGGAGCAAACAGGAUUAGAUACCCUGGUAGUCCACGCCCUAAAACGAUGUCAACUAGUUGUUGGGGAUUCAUUUCCUUAGUAACGUAGCUAACGCGUGAAGUUGACCGCCUGGGGAGUACGGUCGCAAGAUUAAAACUCAAAUGAAUUGACGGGGUCAUAGCUGUUUCCU